GACAGGGUCUUGGUAUGUAGCCCAGCCUAGCCUGGAACUCCAGAUCCUCCUGCCUCAGGUUGACUAUUUAGCCCAGAGUCACUGCAGCUAGUGAAGGACCCAGGGGCUGGAAUAGAAUCACAGGUCCUGUGCUUACUUUCUUUACAGUGCCUCCUCAGGCCCAUCAAAGUCUUCCAGGAUCACGCAGAGGACCAUGCCACAGUCGGAAGUGAGCAACAGCUCUGCAGAGCCACCUUUGGAUCGUCAAUCAUCUGCCUUCCCAGGACCACCCAGCAGUGAUGCACGUACAGCAGAGGCGCAGUGAUGCACAUACAGCAGAGGCGACCCCUUCUCCAUACUUCAGAGACCUCUAGCAUGGUGUUGUGGGACAGCUGGUGUUGUGAAUCAGGCCGUUGCCAAUCAGAGAACGGCUACUUCACAACACCAGGGCCACACUGCACUACAAGCAGCGAGCAGCAAGCAACAAGCAUCCAGACACCUGAGCACCAGGAUGCCAGCAAGAGCACCUGCCUUCCUUGCAGGACUCCUCCCGCUGGCUCCAGACCACUUCUGCUUACUCUCCAGCUCCUGCCCUAUGGUGUAACUGAGGCUGCUGUUUAUUGUAACACAAAGCUCAACUUCAGAAGAAAGCACCAACUCCAGGCAGCAUUAGCUUCCCACAAAGGCAACAGAACAAACAGGUCUCCCAGGGUGAGGGAAGAAGAUGUUCUCAGGCCCUUAGAAAGGCUGAGCACUCUUAAUUGAAUGUCUCCUCAGAGGGUCUGGAAACACACGGAGACUAUAGAACCAGGCCCUUUCCCUUUGUUUCCUUUCCUUUUAUUUUUCUAUUACUUUUUUUUUUAAGUGUGUAUAUGUGUGGGUGUGAAUGUGUGUGCAUGUGUAUGGGGGAUGUAAAACCAGUUUUAAUUAAACUCUAAUUAUUUAUGUAUGUGUAUUGCCUAUGUGAGUUUAUGUGUACCAUGUGUGUAGGCGCCUGAGCAGUUCUGAAGAUGGGUGUCGAAUCUCCUGAAACUAGAGCUGUAGGGGUUAUGAACAGCCAUGUGAGUUCUGGGAACUGAACCUCUGCAAGAGGGAAAAACCAUCCUUAAACCUCAUAACCUGCUCCUCAGCCCCACAUCUAUUUACUUAUUUAAGUGUCUCUGUGUAUGCAUGUUAGUGCUAUAACACACCAGUAGUGCAAUGAUUCUCCAUCCGGGGAUCAUUGACCCAGCAAAUGACCCUUUCAUAGGGGUUACCCUAAGACCAUCAGAAAACAGAGAUAUUUAUGUUAUGGUUCUUAACAGUAGCAAAAUUACAGUUAUGAAGUAGCAACAAAAAUAGUUUUAUGGUUGGGGUCACCACAACAUGAGGAACUGUAUACUAAAGGGUUGCAGCUUUAGGAAGGUUGAGAACCACUGAUGUAGAGGUCAGAGAACAACUAGCAAGAGUUAGUUCUCCCCUUCUAUCAUGUGGGUCCUAGGUUUGGCCACACGCACCUUCACCUGCUGAGCCAUCUCACCAACCAUCCCGCUUAUUUUCUUAGUAGAGUCUUAACUGAGCUGGGACCUCAUGAAUUCAGCUAGAGUGGCUGGUCAGCAAGCCCUGGGGAUCCUCUUGACUCUGCCUCCCAGAAUGUGUGCCCCCAUGCCUGACUUUUAGGUGGGUGCUGGGGAUCUAACUCAGGUUGUCAUGCCAACAAACACUGGGCCAUCUCUCCAGCUCUUUGUUUUGAUAUUAGCAAUGGUAUCUUUGUCUUGGGCAGUGGAGAAGGGAGAAGCUGGUCAAAGGGUUAUGGUCUUAGAUGGUAACUCCACUGUAGCCUUCCUAGAGCUCCCCUGUAGGGGCAGCUUGUGUUUGUGUCCCAAAUGGUCCCAGAUUCCCUAAGCAGCUGAUUCCAUCCUUUAAGAGCAAUAUUUUCACUGGGCACAUGCGCACAUGUGCACAUGCCUGUCUGUGACAAAGACUGACCAGAGCCAAGCAGGGAGAUGUCGGAGGCUCCUGUAGAUCAUACAUGUUGUUACUUGUGUUGGCAAGUGGUUUCCUAGCCUCAGGUCAUAGCCAGAGUCCCUUUAGACUUGAAGACCUAAGGUCUCCUGAACUUCAAUAUUUUUGUGUCUAACAAAAUUACUUGUGGCACCAUUUUUCAGAGCCCAGGCAGACUCUUAAAAGCUGCAUCGCACCUUUCUGACAUACUAAGGAAAAAUAAAGAUCCCCCUCUCUGCCUUUGUGUAGCA
rnacentral:lncRNA from 1 species